rnacentral:rRNA from 9 species
UGGUGGGUAGUUUGACUGGGGCGGUCUCCUCCUAAAGAGUAACGGAGGAGCACGAAGGUUGGCUAAUCCUGGUCGGACAUCAGGAGGUUAGUGCAAUGGCAUAAGCCAGCUUGACUGCGAGCGUGACGGCGCGAGCAGGUGCGAAAGCAGGUCAUAGUGAUCCGGUGGUUCUGAAUGGAAGGGCCAUCGCUCAACGGAUAAAAGGUACUCCGGGGAUAACAGGCUGAUACCGCCCAAGAGUUCAUAUCGACGGCGGUGUUUGGCACCUCGAUGUCGGCUCAUCACAUCCUGGGGCUGAAGUAGGUCCCAAGGGUAUGGCUGUUCGCCAUUUAAAGUGGUACGCGAGCUGGGUUUAGAACGUCGUGAGACAGUUCGGUCCCUAUCUGCCGUGGGCGCUGGAGAACUGAGGGGGGCUGCUCCUAGUACGAGAGGACCGGAGUGGACGCAUCACUGGUGUUCGGG